ACGCUGGCGGCGUGCCUAAUACAUGCAAGUAGAACGCUGAAGCUUGGUGCUUGCACCGAGCGGAUGAGUUGCGAACGGGUGAGUAACGCGUAGGUAACCUGCCUCUUAGCGGGGGAUAACUAUUGGAAACGAUAGCUAAUACCGCAUAAAAGUCGACAUCGCAUGAUGUUGACUUGAAAGGUGCAAUUGCAUCACUAAGAGAUGGACCUGCGUUGUAUUAGCUAGUUGGUGAGGUAACGGCUCACCAAGGCGACGAUACAUAGCCGACCUGAGAGGGUGAUCGGCCACACUGGGACUGAGACACGGCCCAGACUCCUACGGGAGGCAGCAGUAGGGAAUCUUCGGCAAUGGGGGCAACCCUGACCGAGCAACGCCGCGUGAGUGAAGAAGGUUUUCGGAUCGUAAAGCUCUGUUGUAAGAGAAGAACGAGUGUGAGAGUGGAAAGUUCACACUGUGACGGUAACUUACCAGAAAGGGACGGCUAACUACGUGCCAGCAGCCGCGGUAAUACGUAGGUCCCGAGCGUUAUCCGGAUUUAUUGGGCGUAAAGCGAGCGCAGGCGGUUAGAUAAGUCUGAAGUUAAAGGCUGUGGCUUAACCAUAGUACGCUUUGGAAACUGUUUAACUUGAGUGCAGAAGGGGAGAGUGGAAUUCCAUGUGUAGCGGUGAAAUGCGUAGAUAUAUGGAGGAACACCGGUGGCGAAAGCGGCUCUCUGGUCUGUAACUGACGCUGAGGCUCGAAAGCGUGGGGAGCAAACAGGAUUAGAUACCCUGGUAGUCCACGCCGUAAACGAUGAGUGCUAGGUGUUGGGUCCUUUCCGGGACUCAGUGCCGCAGCUAACGCAUUAAGCACUCCGCCUGGGGAGUACGACCGCAAGGUUGAAACUCAAAGGAAUUGACGGGGGCCCGCA
rnacentral:rRNA from 1 species